GUGCACCACUGGAGGCUCUGGUGCACCACUGGAGGCUCUGGUGCACCACUGGAGGCUCUGGUGCACCACUGGAGGCUCUGGUGCAACACUGGAGGCUCUGGUGGACCACUGGAGGCUCUG